UAGGGAAUCUUCCGCAAUGGGCGAAAGCCUGACGGAGCAACGCCGCGUGAGUGAUGAAGGUCUUCGGAUCGUAAAACUCUGUUAUUAAGGAAGAACAAAUGUGUAAGUAACUAUGCACGUCUUGACGGUACCUAAUCAGAAAGCCACGGCUAACUACGUGCCAGCAGCCGCGGUAAUACGUAGGUGGCAAGCGUUAUCCGGAAUUAUUGGGCGUAAAGCGCGCGUAGGCGGUUUUUUAAGUCUGAUGUGAAAGCCCACGGCUCAACCGUGGAGGGUCAUUGGAAACUGGAAAACUUGAGUGCAGAAGAGGAAAGUGGAAUUCCAGGUGUAGCGGUGAAAUGCGCAGAGAUAUGGAGGAACACCAGUGGAGAAGGCGACUUUCUGGUCUGUAACUGACGCUGAUGUGCGAAAGCGUGGGGAUCAAACAGG
rnacentral:rRNA from 1 species